rnacentral:lncRNA from 1 species
CAGAUGAAUUUCGACAGGAGAUUUGGUCAAUCAGCCGCAUUCGUGACAUCAACUCUAAUGGAGGAAGGUGGAGUUCCUCCCUCAUCAAGCCCUGCAGCGCUGCUCAAAGAAGCCAUUCAUGUCAUCAGCUGCGGCUACGAAGACAAAACUGAAUGGGGAUCAGAGGUAACAACCAAAUCAACUGCUUGAUGAACAAAAGCAGAAAAAGUCUACCACAGCUCUCGGGAGCAAGUUUUAACUACUUAGACUACAUCCUAAGCUAUUUGGCAUUGAUUUAUUACCUGAAUUGUGCAGUUGGGAUGGAUCUACGGCUCGAUCACAGAGGAUAUUCUCACCGGCUUCAAGAUGCACUGCCGGGGC